GACUGCAGUAUGCACCCUUUCUUCCCUCAGGGCACACCCUGGUAUUGGGGAUCUUGCCUGGUGGUAUUUGGGAUGCCCUUGAUGUUGGAUGUUUAUCAGGGUGCAAGGCAGGAGAGCAAGUGAAUGGGG